GCUGUCUAUCAAGACAGAUUGAUUCUACAGACACAUGUCUAAUACUGCUACCACACAAUUGAUAAUAGUACGAGGCAAUGACGCAUCGAGUAUGAGGACAUUUGAACCUUUGAAAGGGUUUGCAUCGGGCCAACAGGGUUGUUCUCCAGCCUCUGGAUCGGCAGGGGACAGAGAGUCCAUCCACAGACUUCAAUGAAUAUCACCGCAUUCCAAACACAUGGAGGAAACAAGAUGUCCUUUAACUGCUUGGGAACAUUGCAGUGUAUUAGAAACCAAUAAAUAAAACAAAAUUGACCGCCUAUAAAUCAGACGGCUGUCGAGAGGACUUGGAAAUGCGAGGCGACUCGGGUUCGACAGACAGUAUUUCAAACAGGGGCGAGUCAUAAAUGUCACCGACAGUCAUUAUAUUCUUUCCCCUUACCUCUAGAUCCAUCCAUCCAGGAGGCUUCAGAUUGGAUGAGGCAUGACAGAUAUUCGAGGCCGAACAUUACAUUAGAACAUGUGUAGACCUACUGGUUCUGGUGGAAAUUAAGACCCAACAAUCAUUUUAGAAGGGUAGGUUAAUGAAUCUCUAAGGUGAAGUCAUACCAUUUGUGUUAGAAUUUUGCCUGAGCCAUCCCUUUAAAAAGGUAUAUUGAGGCGACAUAGGCUUACACAUUGCAUUUCACUGACGGAAUACUUUGCCCAACACAACAUGAUAUCUUCUACUUUGUCCUGACGGGCCGGAGUGUGUUUGGAUGUUUGGAUCGCAUUCCGCACUGCUCCCCCUAAUCUCUUGUCCCUUUACUUAAGGAGCGCGGUCUCCGGUUGGGUGCUGCCUGCGUGUCUGUUUCCUUCACCAUUUAUGUUGGCAGCGAGGGACGUCGGCUCCACUGAGCUCUCUCCAAAACAGGAAGGGAACCCUGGUCUGAGAUACAGGACGCAGGAGACUGGAAAACAAACGAGAUGGGGAUGUGCAGACACGAGAGGACAACUGGGGAUACACAUUGAACGCCCGAUCUGCUCCAGACCAGGCCAUGGAGUUUGUGUGUGUGUGUGUGUACAUACUGUGAAUGUGUGUGUCUGCUGUGAAUGUGUUUUUAUUGUGUGUGUGUCUGUGUGUGUGUGUGUGUUUAUAUUGUGAAAGUGUGUGUCGACUGUGGAUGUGUUUGUAUUUGGUGUGUCUGUGUAUGAGACAGAGGGAGAAACUCUAUGUGUUUUGGGUUUAUGAUGGGUGUAUGCGGAUGUCAAGUCAAUGGUUACUAGAAUUGGAUCUACUUUAUUAAUCGUAGAUGAGAAAUGAUAGCAUCCCAGCUGAAAGUGACACUGCUAGCAUGACUGGCAAGUGCCCUUUUUCCUCUCAAGGCGAAAUACUAUUUGCGACAUACCAUACCAGCAACAACACACAAAGGCCAAUAUGCCAUACACAUAAAAUAAAAGUCUAGUGCCGUCAUCAUCAUCAACAUUAUAGUAUGCAUGACCCAAUAUGUGGACAUUUUGCGGGUCUAUAUAUAAAUAAACUGGUAUCCAACUAAAUUAUAUCAGUGUGACCUCUCAUAUACCCUUCUUUAUCAUGUGCGUUAAACACGCACACACACAUGAAAUGUAUGCAAGCAUAGCAUCAGCAGAUUCUUUUACUCAACUUUUAAUCAACCACUAGGGACCAGGUAAGGCUUUCACAUGUAAACGGGAAGGCUGUGAGCUCUAUAAAUGCAAAUUAGGAUAGCGGGGGGAGUUUGACUCAGCACUGGAGCUGACACCUUUUUCUAGGCGGGCCUUGCACUAAAAAGAUCAUCAAACAGCAGCAUUAAUGUGUCGUGAAUGUCUUGUUAAAGAAGAAAUGAGAGUCUGAUCGCUCGAAACCUGCGGCCAGUCCAAUCGUUCAAGAGCCCCAACCAGUCCGACCGACAAUUAAAUUGAGGGGGCCCAUUACAAUUAUUGCACCGGGGCCUUAAUGACCUACUAAAGCCAGUUUAAACUUGCCAUAUAUUACAACGAUGAAAUAAAGAAAAGUUGACGUGGC
ensembl:lncRNA